GUGGGGGCCCAGCCCGGUCUCCUGGGGUCUCCGCUCGCCGCUACCUUCACUCGGCUCGCCCGGAUCCCGCCUCAACGCCGCCGAUCGCCGCCAUCUUGGAGAAGGAGAGAAAAGCGCGAGCGGCCAGGGAGCCUCAGUCGAGCCCAGAGCGCAGACUCGGGCUCCGGAGGGGGAAUCCCGCUCGACCAAGAGCGCCGAGCGCAUCGAAUAAAACUCGGAGCCUGCUGAGCGCGGGAGCUGGCACUUAUUUAUUGAGAAUUUGCUAUGUCCCAGCCUUGCCCUAGAAGCUUACAAACAUUAUUUCACUUAAUCCUCACUGUAUUCCUGUCGCAUUUUGCAGAAGAGAACCAGGCUGAGAGAAGUUAAGUGACGUGCCCAAGGAUACACAGCUCUCUGCAUGUGACACGCUGACUCCCCUUCUGCCAUGAUUGAACUAUGUACUGAAGAUUUGGGGGCAAAAGAGGACCACAUCUGCAACUAACUGGAGAUGGUUCAGAAGAUGAUGCACACACACUCAAGCAUAUCGAGAGAGAAAGGGGCAGAGGACACAGAAGGCCCUGAGUUUAAUGUGCAUGUUUUGGGGAAUUUGGAAGAAGAGCCCCUGAUAAUUCAUCCUUCAUUAUUCUUGCAACUUUUCUCUAAAUCUGAAAUUAUAUUAAAAUAUAAAGUUAGAAGAAAACAUGAA
rnacentral:lncRNA from 10 species